AAUCUCCUCUAUCAACGCCUUUCUUCCAGCUGCGAUCUCCUCUAUCAAAGUUUCUUGCUCCACUGUGUUGUGCUCUGUGAAGCUUCUUCUUCUCCAUCUUCGUUGAACUAGGUCCCAAGGAGGACAGUCAGGUUUCAGAAGCAACUCGAAGAGCUGUGCAAGAAGAAGCGAAAAGGCUGAUUUUACAGAAAAUUCCACUCCAGAAAAAAUUGUUUGAGAUUAUGUUUAAGUAUAGCUUGAAGGGUGUGAGCAAUGAUGUGGAGAGAUGCUUGUCACUGGUGAG